rnacentral:rRNA from 1 species
GACGAACGCUGGCGGCGUGCUUAACACAUGCAAGUCGAACGAAGAGCGAUGGAAGCUUGCUUCUAUCAAUCUUAGUGGCGAACGGGUGAGUAACGCGUAAUCAACCUGCCCUUCAGAGGGGGACAACAGUUGGAAACGACUGCUAAUACCGCAUACGAUCUAAUCUCGGCAUCGAGGAUAGAUGAAAGGUGGCCUCUACAUGUAAGCUAUCACUGAAGGAGGGGAUUGCGUCUGAUUAGCUAGUUGGAGGGGUAACGGCCCACCAAGGCGAUGAUCAGUAGCCGGUCUGAGAGGAUGAACGGCCACAUUGGGACUGAGACACGGCCCAGACUCCUACGGGAGGCAGCAGUGGGGAAUCUUCCGCAAUGGACGAAAGUCUGACGGAGCAACGCCGCGUGAGUGAUGACGGCCUUCGGGUUGGAAAGCUCUGUUAAUCGGGACGAAAGGCCUUCUUGCGAACAGUUAGAAGGAUUGACGGUACCGGAAUAGAAAGCCACGGCUAACUACGUG